rnacentral:rRNA from 1 species
ACUCCUACGGGAGGCAGCAGUGGGGAAUAUUGCACAAUGGGCGCAAGCCUGAUGCAGCCAUGCCGCGUGUAUGAAGAAGGCCUUCGGGUUGUAAAGUACUUUCAGCAGUGAGGAAGGUGGUAGUGUUAAUAGCACUAUCAUUUGACGUUAGCUGCAGAAGAAGCACCGGCUAACUCCGUGCCAGCAGCCGCGGUAAUACGGAGGGUGCGAGCGUUAAUCGGAAUUACUGGGCGUAAAGCGCAUGCAGGUGGUUUGUUAAGUCAGAUGUGAAAGCCCGGGGCUCAACCUCGGAAUUGCAUUUGAAACUGGCGAGACUAGAGUACUGUAGAGGGGGGUAGAAUUUCAGGUGUAGCGGUGAAAUGCGUAGAGAUCUGAAGGAAUACCGGUAGGCGAAGGCGGCCCCCUGGACAGAUACUGACACUCAGAUGCG